UACGUAGGUGGCAAGCGUUGUCCGGAUUUACUGGGCGUAAAGAGCGCGCAGGCGGUCGUUCAAGUCGCGUGUGAAAGCCCCCGGCUCAACUGGGGAGGGUCACGCGAUACUGAUCGACUCGAAGGCAGGAGAGGGUAGUGGAAUUCCCGGUGUAGUGGUGAAAUGCGUAGAUAUCGGGAGGAACACCAGUGGCGAAGGCGACUACCUGGCCUGUUCUUGACGCUGAGGCGCGAAAGCUAGUGGAGCAAACGGG
rnacentral:rRNA from 1 species